GCGCUGUAGGUGCAGGUGAAUAUUACGUAUACAAGAAAUCCAAAGGAAAGCAAAGGAACUUGAAGAGUGACCCUGUCAGUGGACAAGCAGCUGCCAACCAGAUGGUGCCCCUUACUGCAUAGUGAUGGAAACAAUUAAAAACACACAUCAAAAGGUCAAUAAUUUGAACUGAUGUUGUUGUGAACUGGAUUAAUCGAGUGUGCACCGAUGUUGAACUGACACUGCUGCCUGGCGUGUUGGAUAAGUAUAUCGCAACGCACAGACCCCGCUGAAUUAUUCCAAAUGUUCUUGAUUUAAAAAAGAAUCUAUUGAAAGUGAGUGCAUGGGAAGUUAAGUUACAAAGCUUCAGGCCAGAUACAAACACAUUCUUGCAAAGCAAGGUCUGUGAAACUUCGAUCAACUACGCAAACUAUGGAAGUCAUUUUUUAUCUUUAUAAUGAGUUUUUCUGG